rnacentral:rRNA from 1 species
GUGCACCAGUCGCGAAUACUUUACAAUGUGCGAAAGCACGAUAAGGGAACUCUGAGUGCCUCCUAAGGAGGCUGUUCAGGUGUCUUAAAAAGCACCUGAAGGAAGGGCUGGGUAAGACCGGUGCCAGCCGCCGCGGUAACACCGGCAGCCCAAGUGGUAGGCCACGUUUAUUGGGUCUAAAGCGUCCGUAGCCGGCUGGGUAAGUUCCUUGGGAAAUUUGGCUGCUUAACAGUCAAGCUUUCAGGGAAUA